rnacentral:rRNA from 1 species
AUGAGCUCCGAGGCCCCCAAGAACAUGAGGACGGUCUACUCAAGGGAGUUCCUCAUCUCGAUCGGCGAGUCGGACCGCUGCAAGAACCUGCCCCCCGGCGUCAACCUGUCGCUCCUCAACGAGCUGCAGGAGGCGUCGUCGGUGGCGUACGAGAGGGGCAACAGGGGCCAGUACACGACGCCCCUCGGAAGGUCCGACGGGUCCGGGGGUUACACUUACUCGUCGCGUGGCGGGAGCUCCGGCGGGAGGUGGGACACUCGCUCGACGGGGUCGAGCGACCGGGAAGGGGACUUUCCUGACCGCGACUCGCUGACGCAGGAUAGGAAUAAUGGAACCCAAUACAAACGCACUUGGCAAAAAGUAGAACAUGAUGGCCUACUGGGAAGCGGUGGAUUCCCUAGACCAUCAGGGUAUGCAGGGCCGCUGGCGGCCAAGGAUCGUGGGAAUGCGCCUCAGCCAAACAGAACAGCUGAGCGCUAUCAGCCACCACGCCCUUACAAGGCUGGACCUCUUUCACGAAAAGAUGUUGACUCAAUGAAUGAUGAAACAUUUGGGUCUUUUGAAUGCUCAAAUGACGAUAGAGCAGAAGAAGAAAAGAAACGAAGGGCAUCAUUUGAAUUGAUGAGGAAAGAGCAACAUAAAUCUCUACAAGAAAAGAAGACUGGUCCUGGUGAUGAUAUCAUGACGAUGUUACAGAAUUCUACUGAAAACUUAGGUUCCGCAACUAACAGUGGGAAGCCAGAUGGAAUAGUGCCCUCAGUUCAUCAAGAUACCACUAAAACAUCUUCUGUUCUACCAGCUCCUGCGGCGAGGCCACUUGUCCCGCCUGGUUUCUCAAAUGCAGUUGUGGAGAAAAAGGUUCAGUCCCAGUCGUCCAACAUUGCACUUGAACCAAAGGCUCACAUUCCUGCUAGAGAGGAUAAGUUACCGACUAUUGUGCUAUUUAGUAGCCAAGUAGAGGGAAACCAGUCAGCAACAGACAUCACUGCAAGCAACAAAAAGAAGGGCAUUACUGACAAGAUUGGUGUACAUCAAAAGCACACACUUCCAUCUGGAGGCGUUAGCUCUUCAACUGAAUUUGUUCCUAAAAUUCUGAAAGGAACUGAGGACUGGGAAGCUGAUGCAAUGGAUGAUAAGUACUCCAUUGAGAAACAAGGCAUGUCAAAAAAUGGUGGUUCAGUUGGCAAGGACAAUUCAAUCUCAAUCUUGGAGGAGUUCUUUGGCAACGCAUUGUCAAAAGGCAGUGGCAAUUUACCGACAUAUGUUGAGAGUCAACAGCUGAAUACGGGUGCUGAUAUGAUGGCCUCUUCUGUACCAGAAUCAUCCAAAUUUGCUCGCUGGUUUCGUGAUGAAGAUUCAAAACCUUCAGAGGACUUGCCAUCAAAGAGCCUGCUCUCCAUGAUUGUGAACAAUGACAAAACAGGCCCACAAAACAUAGCUCCUGGUCCAACUUUGUCUGAUGGUGCUAUUCAUCAGAAUUUAUCAUCAAAAUUAACUACCGAUAAAUUCGAUGCUUCAUCAAGGCUACUACCAUUUCCAUCUUCUGCACCUGCUGGUGGUAUCCAGGAGCAGUACAGGCAUGCUGGUAUCCCAGAGCCAGCUCCAGUUAUGAUGACAUGUGAGGAUCUUGAGCAGGCGAUGCUGGCACAGGUUGCUAGCAACAGCGGUUCUACUCAGAAGAGUGCUGUACAGAGGCAUCAGGCUGUUUUGGAUGAGCCGGCCGCCAAGCAGAAAGUAGCUGUAGACAAUCAUGCAUCACAUCAUCUUCUUUCAUUAUUACAGAAGGGAACAGAUAGCAAGGGAUCAUCUCCGUUUGGUUUCCACAUAGGAUCAGCCGAUGAACCACAGAGUUCUGAUGUAAAUGCCAGGGCCAAUGGUGGUAUAUAUGGAACUGUUCCGAGUAACAAAACUGAAACUGUUCCGAUUAACAAAACUGAAACUGUUCCUGCUUCAGGGAAGAGCGUGACCUUGGAAGCAUUAUUUGGGGCUGCAUUUAUGAAUGAGCUCCAUUCCAAGGAUGCGCCAGUUUCUGUUCGGGGAUCUGCAUCUAGUCAUGAAGGAUACUACCCUGGUGAAGAGCCCUUUAACAGCAAUGAAGGUGGAGAUCCUUUUAAAGAACCAAGAACUGGAAUAGAGUACAGGAAUACACCAUUCAGUGGUCCAAGUCAGGGUACUAGCUUUGACAAGAAUGGGUUGGAAAUUAAUCUGCCUGAGGAAGACAGUUUGUUUACAAUGAAUGACUCUUUCGGUGUUCGAAAGCCUGAUAUGUUGCCAUCACUGAGAUCCGGUAGGGUGGAGGUGCAAUUACCGGAGAAGGCAGUUGAUGAUCUUAACUAUAAGCUUCAAAGCCUUGUGCCUGGUGAUGUAGAACCUGCUCAAGUACUUGGCCCUGAUGCUCUGGGGCCUCGUUCCCACGAACAGCGUUAUCAGGUUGAGUCUCAGAAUCUUUACCAUCUUCUACAGGGUGGUAGGCAACCUGCACUGGCUCCUCGUCCGAUGCUGGAUCGCGUUGGUAAUAGGAGUCAGCAAGCCCCAUUUGACAUGCCACAAGCGAUACGGCAUGAUCCCCGCCGUUCUUUCCCACCUAACAUGAAUCCUAUGCAACACACACUAAAUGCUCCAGGGGUCCCUCAUGUAGAUCCUGCUGCCCAUCAUCUUAUGCUGCAGCGCAUGAGUGGAAGUUUUCCAGCAGAAGGCUUGCCAAGAGGUGUCCUGCCAUCUCAGCCUGUGCAUCAGGCGGCUGGUUAUAGACCUGAGAUGAACAAUGUAAAUAAUUUCCAUAUGCACCCUCGCCAGCCCAGCUAUGGAGACUUUGGACUGAUGCCACCAGGUCCAUCGGGUCCAGAGGUGCGAGGCAACCACCCAGACGCCUUCGAGAGGCUGAUGCAGAUGGAGCUCACAGCCAGAUCAAAGCAGAUACACCCAGCCAUGGCCGGCCCUGUACCAGGCGGCGGCAUGUACGGGCCCGAGCUCGACAUGAACCUGAGAUACAGAUGA